UACGGGGGGGGCAAGCGUUGUUCGGAGUUACUGGGCGUAAAGGGUGUGUAGGCGGUUGUUUAAGUUUGGUGUGAAAUCUCCCGGCUCAACUGGGAGGGUGCGCCGAAUACUGAAUGACUAGAGUGCGGGAGAGGUGAGUGGAAUUCCUGGUGUAGCGGUGAAAUGCGUAGAUAUCAGGAGGAACACCGGUGGUGUAGACGGCUCACUGGACCGUAACUGACGCUGAGACGCGAAAGCGUGGGGAGCGAACAGG
rnacentral:rRNA from 1 species